rnacentral:rRNA from 1 species
GACGAACGCUGGCGGCGUGCUUAACACAUGCAAGUCGAACGGAAAGGCCCUGCUUUUGUGGGGUGCUCGAGUGGCGAACGGGUGAGUAACACGUGAGUAACCUGCCCUUGACUUUGGGAUAACUUCAGGAAACUGGGGCUAAUACCGGAUAGGAUCUCCUGCUGCAUGGUGGGGGUGGGAAAGGUUCGGCGGUUGGGGAUGGACUCGCGGCUUAUCAGCUUGUUGGUGGGGUAGUGGCUUACCAAGGCUUUGACGGGUAGCCGGCCUGAGAGGGUGACCGGCCACAUUGGGACUGAGAUACGGCCCAGACUCCUACGGGAGGCAGCAGUGGGGAAUAUUGCACAAUGGGCGGAAGCCUGAUGCAGCAACGCCGCGUGCGGGAUGACGGCCUUCGGGUUGUAAACCGCUUUCGCCUGUGACGAAGCGUGAGUGACGGUAAUGGGUAAAGAAGCACCGGCUAACUACGUG